AGUUUUUUUCCUGCAUAAUUACGAUUGGUUGUAAAUGUUUUUAUGAUUGAUUUGUAUAGAUGUACUAUAUAUUUAUGCAAUCAUAUUUUGUUUUGUACCCAGCUUUUAUAGCACUUUCUUGCCAUUUCUACUGUAGUGAUUAUACGAAGUGUAGACUAUAAUUCUUGUACUGUAUCUCAGAUGCUGUUCAAAUGGUUUGCAAGCAUAUUUUUCACUUUUGCGUUUAUCUCAUUUCAAAUUGGUGUGUAAAAUAUUUAUAUACAGAAUAAGAUUUUAACGUGCAAGCAGCUAACACAAAAUGUUGAUCAAUAUACUGCUUGAUAUUCAAGUUCUGUGCAGCGCUAGUUUUCAUACUUUUUCUCAAAUGACGGAUACGUAGCUAGUGUUGUAAAGUAUUUUAUUUAUAGUCUGCUAGGGUUAAGCUUAUGUGAAUAUCAUAGGUGUAUAGUAUAAAGGAAUUAAAAAAAAUGUUCAUGCAAAUAUAGGUACUAAUAUAUAUGCUACACAUGAGAAUUAGAAUAGCUGCUAUGCAAUGUUUCAUACGUACAUUAUGAUUGGUUGAUUUCAAAUACAUACCCGUCUUAAUAAGCACCAUGUUCUUUUUUCCACUUCAAAAACAGUAAUCAACUGUCAAAAAGACAAAUAUAAAUUCACAGAUCAGCUUUAUAUAUCUAGUUUGAAUAUUAACUCUAAGCACAACUUGUAUUACCAAUGCAUGUAUAGAUGGAUUUGCUUGACCUUGUACAGUGGAUUUUUUUUUUUUCAUGAAACCUAAUAUGCUCAGGUUGCAGACUUUCUAAAGGAACAAAAAAAUGCUUUUUUAAUUAUAUUUCCUUACAUUCCAGUGGAUUUUUAUUUUUAACUGAACCAUUUGUUCCAUCGAUCAUUACCAUUUUGUCUUUCUAAAUCCAAGUUUUUAUUUGAACAGCUGAUAAAUUAUAAUGGGCAUUCCAUGCAUUGCUUUUUAAAUUUCAUGCUAAUUUCUACGAUAUACAUGUAUACACUUAGAAUUUAUACAUACAUAUAUAUUUUUUGUUACAUGUAUUUUGGUAUUAGAUUCUUUACUUAUUUGCAAUAAAGCUUUUAAUGAUGCUUUAU
rnacentral:sRNA from 1 species